UCGAGAAUUUUUCACAAUGGGGGAAACCCUGAUGGAGCGACGCCGCGUGGGGGAUGAAUGGCUUCGGCCCGUAAACCCCUGUCAUUCGGGAUCAAUGCCUGCGGCAUAAUACGUUGCAGGUUGAUAGUACCGGAAGAGGAAGGGACGGCUAACUCUGUGCCAGCAGCCGCGGUAAUACAGAGGUCCCAAGCGUUGUUCGGAUUUACUGGGCGUAAAGGGUGCGUAGGUGGCGGGGUAAGUCGGAUGUGAAAUCUCCAGGCUCAACCUGGAAAUGGCAUUGGAAACUACCUUGCUGGAGAGUUGGAGGGGGGACUGGAAUACUUGGUGUAGCAGUGAAAUGCGUAGAUAUCAAGUGGAACACCAGUGGCGAAGGCGAGUCCCUGGACAACUUCUGACGCUGAGGCACGAAAGCUAGGGGAGCAAACAG
rnacentral:rRNA from 1 species